GCCCCUGUAGUGUAGUCCGGCCAAUCAUACCGCCCUCUCGAGGCGGUGACUCGGGUUCAAAUCCCGGCGGGGGCA
rnacentral:tRNA from 1 species